ensembl:lincRNA
ACUCAAACCAGCUGUAUUAAGGAAGGUGCAAGCUUUUGGGAUUUCUGUUUGGAUUUAGUUUAGGUUCAAAAUUGGAUUUAGUUUAGGUUCAAAAGAGCACGCACAGAUCCUGAGUGUUGUCAAGCACCUGUGACUGGGAAACGGAGGCGUCCGAUCCGUAUUGGAGUCAAUUCGCCACUUAAUUGAACACAGCCUCGAAGGGAAGGGCCAUAUUUGUGGGCCUGUCUAACAAUUAAGAGUGACCACAUGGAAUGGGGGAUGAAAGGGUUAAAGAAGAACAAAUAUUGAACACAGCUUUUCUAUGAACAAACUGCAGGCAGCUGCUGCUUUGCAAGGGGAACUUCUUGGCUGCCAUUUCUGGAUGUCAAGGCUGCAGAUACACUGGUCAGGACCCUGGGUAGAGAGAGAUGCGUCAGAAUGCGGCUCCUUUCAGAAAGGCUUCUCCGGAGGUUGGUGAGGUCAGCUGACUACUAGAAGACAGAUCUAUUUGAAGAUUUUUGUGGUGGUCUUUACUACUCCAGAGAUUUACAGCUGAUGAAAAAUGGAGAAGUACAUGACCCUACCCUGCUGUUGGACAUGCUACCCAAGGAUCAUGACUGACAACUUGUCAACAUCACUAUUGCUUAUUUAAUAAAUGUGCAGUACUACUUCAAUAAACCUGGAAUCAUAAAAUUUUAGAGAACAAACCUUAAAUUACAU